GAGAGCCCGGUGCAGGGACAACUUGCACGCCGGGUUCGGUGGGGAGGAUGCGGAAACGUACAUGCCGAAAGGGAUGUAACGCGCCGUGUCCUUACCCAAU
rfam:Ktedonobacter racemifer DSM 44963 strain SOSP1-21 Krac_Contig202, whole genome shotgun sequence.